GGGCCCGCACAAGCGGUGGAGCAUGUGGUUUAAUUCGAUGCAACGCGAAGAACCUUACCAGGGUUUGACAUAGUACGAAGUUUUUUGAAAAAAAACCACCUUCGGGAACGUACAUACAGGUGGUGCAUGGCUGUCGUCAGCUCGUGUCGUGAGAUGUUGGGUUAAGUCCCGCAACGAGCGUAACCCUUGUUUUUAGUUGCCAGCAUGUAAUGAUGGGAACUCUAAAAAGACUGCCGGUUAUAAACCGGAGGAAGGUGGGGAUGACGUCAAGUCAGCAUGCCCCUUACACCCUGGCUACACACGUGCUACAUUGGGGAAUACAGACGGACGCUAAGCCGCGAGGUGGUGCU
rnacentral:rRNA from 1 species